GAAUUUUUCAAGCAGAAACUAACUGCAGAGCUUCCGGUUGACCAGCACUCACAGGAAUGAAGACAAUCACAGAGAUGGUGUGUCUAAGAAAUUUCAAAAGGUGUAGGCCUCCUGACUGAAGAACAGUCAACUUCUCAGAUUCAUUUUUCUCACUAUACUUCUGUACUCCUGCAAGGGGAAGUCAUGAUUACACUAACAGAGCUGAAAUGUUUAGCAGACGCCCAGUCAUGUUAUCACAUCCUGAAACCGUGGUGGGACGUCUUCUGGUAUUACAUCACCCUGAUCAUGCUGCUGGUGGCCGUGCUGGCUGGAGCCCUCCAGCUGACACAGAGUAGGGUUCUGUGCUGUCUCCCAUGUAAGGUGGAGUUCGACAAUCACUGCGCCGUGCCUUGGGACGUCCUGAAAGCCAGCAUGAACGCGUCCUCUGAUCCCGGGCCACCGCCUCCGCUCCCCCUCAGAAUCCAGAACGACCUCCACCGACAGCAGUAUGCCUACAUUGACGCUGUCUGCUACGAGAAGCAGCUCCACUGGUUUGCAAAGUUCUUCCCCUACCUGGUGCUCUUGCACACGCUCAUCUUUGCAGCCUGCAGCAACUUUUGGCUUCACUACCCCAGCACCAGUUCCCGGCUCGAGCACUUUGUUGCCAUCCUGCACAAGUGCUUCGAUUCUCCAUGGACCACCCGAGCCCUGUCGGAAACGGUGGCCGAACAGUCAGGGCGACCCCUGACACUCUCCAAGUCCAAGGUUUUGCUUUCGUCCUCAGGGUGCUCAGCCGACGUCGAUUCCAACAAGCAGCCGUUGCCCUUCCCGCAGCCUGGCUUGGAGUCAGCCGGCUUGGAAAGCCCGGCCUCUAGCGUCCUGGACAAGAAGGAGGGCGAACAGGCCAAAGCCAUCUUUGAAAAAGUGAAAAGGUUCCGCGUGCAUGUGGAGCAGAAGGACAUCAUUUACAGAGUGUAUCUGAAGCAGAUCAUCGUCAAGGUCAUUCUGUUUGUCCUCAUCAUCACAUACGUUCCGUACUUUUUAACCUACAUCGCUCUUGAAAUCGACUGCUCGGUGGACCUGCAGGCUUUCACGGGGUAUAAGCGCUACCAGUGCGUCUACUCCUUGGCGGAGAUAUUUAAGGUCCUGGCUUCGUUUUACGUCAUCUUGGUGAUACUUUACGGCCUCACCUCCUCGUACAGCUUGUGGUGGAUGCUGCGGAGUUCUCUGAAGCAGUACUCCUUUGAGGCGCUGCGAGAGAAGACCAACUACAGUGACGUCCCGGACGUCAAGAAUGACUUCGCCUUCAUCCUGCACCUGGCUGACCAGUACGACCCUCUUUACUCCAGACGCUUCUCCGUCUUCCUGUCGGAGGUCAGUGAGAACAAACUGAAACAGAUCAACCUCAACAACGAGUGGACGGUUGAGAAACUGAAGAGUAAGCUUGUGAAGAAUCCCCAGGACAAGGCAGAGCUGCACCUUUUCAUGCUAAACGGUCUUCCAGACAAUGUCUUUGAGUUGACUGAAAUCGAAGUGCUCAGCCUGGAGCUGAUCCCUGAGGUCAAGCUGCCCUCCGCAGUCUCGCAGCUGGUCAACCUCAGGGAGCUCCACGUGUACCAUUCAUCUCUGGUGGUCGACCAUCCCGCCCUGGCCUUCCUAGAGGAGAAUUUAAAAAUCCUCCGCCUGAAAUUUACUGAAAUGGGGAAAAUUCCCCGCUGGGUGUUCCACCUGAAGAAUCUCAAGGAACUUUACCUGUCGGGCUGUGUUCUACCUGAGCAGGUGAGUACCAUGCAGCUGGAGGGCUUCCAGGACUUGAAAAACCUGAGGACCCUCUACUUGAAGAGCAGCCUCUCCCGGAUCCCACAAGUCAUCACAGACCUCCUGCCUUCGCUGCAGAAGUUGUCCCUCGAUAAUGAGGGAAGCAAACUGGUUGUGUUGAACAACUUGAAAAAGAUGGUCCAUCUGAAAAGCCUGGAGCUGAUCAGCUGCGACCUGGAACGCAUUCCACACUCCAUCUUCAGCCUGAACAAUUUGCAUGAGUUAGACCUCAGAGAAAAUAACCUUAAAACUGUGGAAGAGAUCAUUAGCUUUCAGCAUCUGCAGAAUCUUUCCUGCUUGAAGUUGUGGCACAAUAACAUCGCUUAUAUUCCUGCACAGAUCGGGGCAUUAUCUAAUCUCGAGCAGCUCUUUCUGGACCAUAACAACAUAGAGAAUCUGCCCCUGCAGCUUUUCCUGUGCACCAAACUACAUUACCUGGAUCUAAGCUACAACCACCUGACCUUCAUUCCGGAAGAAAUCCAGUAUCUGAGUAAUCUGCAGUACUUUGCUGUGACCAACAACAACAUUGAGAUGCUACCAGAUGGGCUGUUUCAGUGCAAAAAGCUGCAGUGUUUACUUUUGGGGAAAAAUAGCCUGAUGAGUUUGUCCCCUCACGUGGGUGAGCUGUCGAACCUUACUCAUCUGGAGCUCAUGGGUAAUUACCUGGAAACGCUUCCUCCUGAACUGGAAGGGUGCCAGUCCCUAAAACGGAGCUGCCUGAUCGCCGAGGAAAGCUUGCUCAGUACCCUUCCUCCUCCUGUAACAGAACGUCUGCAGACGUGCUUAGAUAAAUGUUGACCUAAAGGGCAAAUCAUUUCUAAGAGAACACUCCAGGGCUUUAAAUGAGAACUAAAAUUUCCUGAGUUACAAGGAUGAAAAAUGGAUCUUUGUGAGUAACUAGAACCAAAUGUCUUAUUAAAGAAACUCAGUGUCUAUCCCUAAAUUAAACAGGUAAAAAAGUGUUAACACUGAACAAAGUUUUGUGAGUCACUGAUCUUUAACUUACGGAGAUGUCCGAGGUGCACGUGGAGGGUGAAUGGGGGCGUGACGUUGCUGCAGUUUACACCCUAAAGAGUAGACAUUCCCCCCCCCAGCCCCUGUUACUUAUUUGCACACUUGUUUUAGCGGACUUCCUGUUGUGACAUUUGUCACCUAGACCAUAAACGCAUCAGUAUAAAGUCCCUUGAUGUGCCCUCAGCACUGUCUUUGAUUUCUGUUCUUAAAUAUUUUUAAGCAGGGUGCAUUGUGCUUGGCAGAAUUCCUUCUCGGCUCAAUUUUUACUUCCUGUCCCAGCUUCCUUGAGUCUUCCUUUAAUGACAGUGAUGAACGCUGAGGAAGUGCCUGCCUUUGGCCUUUACCUGGAGCAGGAGCAGGGUACUUAGGGCACGUCACCCUCGGGGCGUCCUAAAAAUGAAUGUGUCCGCUGAAAGGUCCUCUUGUGUAUCGUCAAAGCCUUUUUUAUUUGCUAGUAAUUUUUAUAUUCAAUGUAAAACACAUAAAUAUUUUCUAUUAUAUAAUCUUGGAUUCAAAAUCUGUGGGAAUGAUUUUUGUAAGGUACAGGGAACACAUGCAUUUCUUUAAGAAUUUAUUAUUAAUAUGCUUGGUUUGGGCGGCUUCUGAUUCUCAUAUUUGUGUGCAUUCUGCUCCAAAAUGUUUUUGUACUCUGCAACUAAUUACUUUUGGAUAACAAAAGCCUUGUGUUUCAUGCCCUAAAAUAUUUGGGGGUUUCCUUCUAAGAGGACGGCCGUAUCGUCUGCCUCUCUCUUCCCUGGUCACCCUGCUGUCGCUGUGCUAACUGCUCCCAGAGCUGUGGUGGAGGGGCAGGCGCAGAUCUGGGUCUUUAAAACUGCCUGUAAAACACUCUGUAGAAGUAAGAGUUAAGCCAAACACUUUUCUUCUCCGUCUGCAUGAUCUCUAGAUGUGAUAAUGAUGUAAAACACUCAGCCUCUAUGCGGUGGUUCAGAUGAGCUCUCAAAGCUCAGAAAGAAGUAGGUCCACUUAACUGAAAUGCAUCUCAUGCCUUUGUCCAACUUUCCUGGAGUCCAUUUUGCUCUUUUUUAUAAAGAGCUUUGUGCUUGGCCGUUGAUUAUCACACAUGUUGUAAAAUGAAUAAAAUCGACUGACUCGUUCGGGGGAAUGUGCAUUUCCAAUGCGGUUUCUCUGACGGGCCCAGGCGUCGUGCUGCCGCCUCGCUCUGGACGUAGCCGUGAAGGGAUCUGCUAGCCGCGCCUGGACAGACCUGGGAGGCGCACGGAACCGUGAGGUGCAGUGCUUCGUGCUCUGCCCCUUCCAGAGGAUGAAGUGGGUCUUUAAAUUACAGCAAAAUGCAGCUUCCCUCACCUGCCACUCACCCCUGGACUGGUCCGCAGAGAAGAGAAUUGUUCACAUCAGACGAGAUUUGAGUAAUACUAACUAUAAAACACACAAGACACCAAAGGCUGCCUAAAACAUUGUUUAUUUUGUUGUAAACAAGUGUAAAAACGCAAUUCUUACCAAAACUUGCCUUUAGUCAGAACACUCGAGUUCUCAGGGUCCCAGGCGUAAUGACGAAGUGUUCCUCUAGGGCUUCAGAAAACAGAUUCUCACUCUCUCUAGGGUUUUCUGUUAUUUUCAAUUUUCUUAAUGUGAGUUGAUCAUUUUAAUGUUUUGCAUCUGUGUUUCACAAUAGACUUGUCAUGUGUACCGAGUCCACUGUUGGAUAGGAUUAUCUGACGUUUGGAACAUGAAUAUGAUACAUGGACGUAUGUUUAAAUGUUUUGGGCCAUGUAAUUAGCCAUAAUUUGUAUGAAAAAUCCCACCCUCUUCUAUAAGAAAGAGUUUUCAAAAACAGUUUUCAGAUUUGCUACCAUUUCUUUGAGACUGGACCUUCUCCACGGCUAGUCACUGGUUCUGUUUACCUGCAAAAGUCACUAACUAAAUCGCACCCACUGUUGAAACCCUAGAAGCGAGUUACUGUCGGGCUCAAUGGUGAAUUUUGUAAGCUGCUUUCCAGACAGCAGGGUGUGGUCCCUGUUCUUGACGCCGUAGCUGUUGGACCUCUUCUUUGCUUCAGCCCCACGCGUCAGUGUUGGGGAGCUUUUCGAAUGAUGUGGCACUGACGCCAUGGACUCUGAGGCCACCCACUUAAUGUGCAAAAGUCUGGUGUUUGAUGCCACCUCUACCGCUCUGUGGGAGCAGAUCUUCAUUUUGCAAGUGUUUGUAUUCAUAUAAGAGGAUUUUAAACGAAGAAAAUAAAGUUUGUUCACUUAUAAUUUUGAGACUUUAGGUGGCACUUGAUUUCCAAGAAUGUAUCAUGUAUUUUCCAAAAAAAUAUAGAUGUUAUUCAGAACAAAGUUUAAGGCUUAUGCUGACAAUGGCAUUGAUUCAUUUACUUACAUCCACACACAAGGAGACACAGAUGCACAAAGACGAGCUUGCGUACACAGACACACACCCCUGUGUGUGCAAAAUGUAACUUACUAGUUCUGGAUAUGUUUAGUGUUUUUCCAAAGUCUCCAGAGGCUGCGGGUUAGCGCUGGGAUAGGCAUUCUGUUUUAUUCCUCACUUGUAAUCGCGGAGUGCUCCAUUCUCUUAGUUAUAACAUUUCAAAGAAAACUGAAUGCUCAGCCUCGGUCUGCAAACCUAGGUGGUUCUGAGCAUUCCUGGUAAGGAAGGUGUUCCCUCCCUAACCUGUGUCGGGGUACGUCUGUGUGGCACUUAGACACGGCGUUUCAUCCUUCAUCCUCAGCCCUCGAUCUCUCCCCCAGAUAGCACCACGUCUUGCUGUCACUCAGCAGAUGUUUGUGCUAAACAGGGUGCACAGAGGUCCUCGGGGUCCCAGCGCUGUGGCUUAGCUCCAGCGUAAGUGCAGUGAGUUACUGGCUUAACAUUGCUGUUUGAUAGUGAAAUACUUGUUUCUGUCCUUUGGGCGUCUCGUGAGUCGAGUCCUGUGGCUUAAUUAGGGUUUGCGUUAUAUCGACGGGCUCGGAAACCACUGAAACAAUCAUCCUUGAGGGCUUACAGCUUUCCUUCCUCGUAUUUUCAUUGAAAUGCUCUUUCCGUCUUUACUGUCCCUUCGCACUGUCCCGUCCGAUAAGGAAUUUUGUUCUCCCUCUCCACUCGCCCGCUUCCUUGAAUUUGUGAGGCAACAGAGUGUGUUUGUGCUGGAGGACGUGCAGUGACCCUCGGGCACGUAUCUUGGGGGGAGCCAGAGCCCAUCACUGUGCCUGACUGCUUAGUUCUCUUGUCCCAUCCUGCAGAAUUUAGGGCUGGUCCCGUGAUCCCUCAUCCCUGCCAGCAGCCCGUGACUAUAACUGGAGACCCACUUUGUUUUCAGGAGCUACGUAUUGCGUCAGUGUUUCUUUCUUUCUGGAAACAAGAGGAAGGCUGGUGGGAGAGGAGAGGAGAGGAGUUACUUUGCAUCCUGGUGUGAAUUAUGAAGACAUUAUAUACAUGAAAUGGCAUAAACUAAUAACUGCUGCAAAAUGCCCUGGAUAUAAUUACUUCUUAUCUUCAGCUGGAUAUGGAAGUUGAAGCAGGGGGAACACUGCUGUGCUGUUUAACUGGUUCCUUCCAGUUUCCGGCCCAGCACUGCUGCAUGCACUGGGGACUGUCUACCAAGUACCUUUGGUAAUGGACUGCGUUCUCUCCAACUUUUUUUUAUGUGAACAAUUUCAUCAACCCCUAAAGCAUUAACAGAAUAUAUGAGCCAAAGUACUGAGUGGCAGUGGCUUCCAGCUGAACUGAAUUCAUUCUUAAGUUUGCGUUUGACUUGUGUAACACGCCACUGCUGAGAAAAACAGGAAUGCCUCCUGCAUGUUACAUACUAUCUCUGACAGAGACGGUGCAAUUUUAAAAAUACAAAGGGGCACAGAAUUAAAAUGGAUGUGUUUGUGCGUAUGUGUGUUGUGUGUAACCCUAAAUAUUUAUGCUCAGAUAUUUUUAAAAACUCUUCAAAUGUUUCACUCUCAGCAAAGUAAUGGGCCAACCCUGAGUAGAGGCAUUUUCUUUUGUUAGCUAGCUUCACAGUGACAGCUAGCAUCCAUUAUUUUGUCUUUGUCACGUCUUUUGAAACAUGUACAUAGUUGGUUUUUGCUUCUGAUAAUGAUUAUUUGAAGAUGUAAGGUUUUGCUGUGAGUUGAAUGUUUUGGGCCCUCAGGUUUACCGUGUAAAUCUGCAUCUUGGUAGUAACCAUUCUGCCUGAGAUUCAGUAGUUUUUGGUAAAUUUUACUGUUUUUAAGGUAAUUUUUGUGUAAAAUAAAAAUCUGAUUUUUCUAAUAAAUGGCGAAUACAAGCGGACGCCGUGUCGGACAGUGCCCGCCACUUCUUUCGCCCUCGCGGCCCAGGUGCCAGAGGGACCCUCCUCUUCCCACGGCUCCCUGGGCAGCUGUCCUGUUGUAUUAUUCACCGGAAGAUUGACUUUAGACUUGCAUGCAGAUCUCACAACAGUAGUGGGAGAUUUCAAAAUACACUACAACGGCCGCAAAAUAUCAAGACCCUGGAAAGAGCCGGCUUGAGCCGAGAACGCGCUGGGGUGGGGGAGGGCGUGAAGUCUGCCGCUCUCCUGACAGGCCCAUCUGUCCAGUCGUGCUCACCCUUGGGGACUGGUGUUCACAGACCAGCCCAUCUCUCCCCGCCUCCUUCCUGACUCCCGUUUCUCUGUGUGCUGUUAGUCCAACACCGACACUGAAUGGUGGCCUGGAUCAGUAAAAAGUGAGAAGCUGCAAGGUAGGAACUUUUGAGAAGGUUUAGUAAAGGGAGAAAAAAUUGAAUUAUCAGGUAAGCUAGGCAUGCAUUGGUUGAAACUUUUGGAUGGAAGACGUUCCUCUUUCAGACACACACACACACACACACACACACACACACAUGAGUUUACACACAGUAAAGCAGGUACCGAGAGAACAGAACUCAAUACAGAUGAAGGAAACCAGGCGGCCGUAUUUUCUCCUGGAAAUGCAGUUCUGCAAGUGAGGCUUUCCCUCACCUCUAAGUGCCUUAGGAGUGGGGAUGCGUUAGGAAAUGAAGCCAGUGCCUGAGCCCGGGCCUCCCUGCGAGGUGCCUUGGGUGCCGGGUCCUGUGACCCAGCCCAGAGUGCAGGGACCAGGUGGCCUCGGGUUCCUCAGCUCUCCCUUCUGCUUUGCAAACUCACUUUUCAACCCACACCCAGGGCCUGGCUGUGCAAGAGAGAGGCUGCGCUGGCGCCGUGGAGGCCACGGUUUGACUCUCUGGAGCUGCAGCUUGUGCCUGGGUUCCUGCCCCUCGUCUCGGUUCUCUGAAAUCCGGGUUCCUGGCGUGUGUCCUCUGUCCCUCUCAUCUCUCAGGUCUAGAGCAAAGCAGUUAUCCAAAAGCACAGAGCCAGACCUUGAACUCAACCCCACACUUAGGAAGAAUAUAUAUGCCAAAGAAGGAUCAGGAAAAAAGUCACUUUUUGAUGCGCGUCGUCUUUGGAGAGCCAGCUCUCUGCGCCCGCGUAGCUUCGUCGUGCUCCAGGCCAGCAUUCCUAGUCCUGCCUCUGCCGUGCCACGGAGUCUCCAGGACGGCCUGUGUGCUUCUGAGGAGCUUUUCAAAUUGCUGCUUAUACCAAUACCUUCUGUGUCCGGUGCCUUUUUACACAGGCCUGCUUGUUGGUGUGUGGACGGCUCACACACAUCUUUUCUGAUUCUCUGCCUCCCUCUGCCGCUGAGAUGAGAGUAAGUCAAGCAGACGUGUGCUCGGUUCCCACUCCCUCCCGUGGGUUCAUUUCCUCCCCGCCCUGCCUGUGUCUAGUGCAGCCCCCGAGGUAGGCGCUGGAGGACUCAGGGACCCUCCUUAGUCUCGAUGACUCCAUCUCGAGUGAGAUGCACUGAGAAGCCCCAUGCAGUUCCCAGCACCAGGACCAGACCAGACGUGAGCAGGCGGCCUGGGUACAAGAGGGAGGUGGCGCUUCGAGACUACUACGAGCAGAGAGACAGGUGCGGGGAGGGGGCUGCUGGGCAAAGGAGGGUUCUCACGGCACUUCUGUGCACCAUCCCCAGGGGAUGGUCUCGUCCCCCAGGCCUCAUCGGCUGCUGGGUCUCCCUUCCCGUCUCUCCAGCGGGGCGCCCUGCUUUUCGGCCCCGACUCUGUCCCUUCCCGGUCCCACUCCCUGCAGACUCCAGAGCCUGUCUCCCUCCCUCCCCCUCCCUCCCCCUCUGUCUCCCUGUCCCUGCCUCUGUCUCUCUCUGUCUCUCUCCGGGCUGUCUGGCACUGGCCUAACCGCAUACUCCAAGCUUACGUACCCUCACCCAUCACUAAACCCCAGCUUUGAAAGUAUCACACACCUGCCGUAUCAAAGGGGGUGUUUUAGCCUGUGCUCAUCAAAAUGAAUGUCUUUCCGUUAUCAAGGUCCCCACUCCCUGCAAGGGGGCUUCCUGGCACAACUCCGGGUUCCAAAGAAGAGACUUGCUCACUGCGCUGGACAGAGUAGGGCCAUCGCGUCCCCUAGGCUGGUGACCUAGCUGCACGUGGAGACCUGAGUGGCCUGGUCCCCACCCUUUACCAGUCAUUCCGGUGGCACUCGGUGUCCCUUGUAAGUGAGCACCCGGUCCAGGGUUCAAACACCGCCUUGUGCGGGGAGUCCCCCUCCAGUCUUCCCUCGAGCGGGGGGGAGGGCUCGCGUGCCGGUCUUCCUGCCUCUGCUGCACUUCAUGGAGGGCUACUCGGCUCAUCGUGGCGAGAAGAGGGCGUUCUGUCCCCCUUUCCACAACAGACUGAACCCAUCUCAGGCGGUUGCUCUGUGGAAAGGAAAACCCUGAAGAAGCUGCCGAGUGAAGGAGCGCCGGUGCAGUCUGCAGCAAGAGGCCUGAGGGAAACUCUCUGGACCUGUGACGCGGAACCUGGGCAGAGCAGAGCGUCCCAGACCUCAUGAGAGGCUCCACACUGAGGAAAGAUGAACAUCUAGCCGCUUCAUCCCCGCUCCUCCAGCGUGGAGUCUGUCACCUCUGGGGAAGCACCUCAGCGAGCCAUUUACCUCCCGCCGGGGGCUCCACCGGCCCCGCAUGUGUGCUGUGUCAACCCACCCAACAGCCUGCUUCGGUGUGUCAUUCCCAUUUUACAGAUGAGAAAGAAGACUUAAAAAUGAGGACUCUCCCAGCAUCUCAUGGCUGUUCAGAAGAGGAGCCCUACUUAACCCACAGGUCUGCGAAGCCGCUCCCACGGAGGGUCAGGUAGACAGCACCCAAGCUCGGCACGCCUCUCCCUCCCCCACCCGGGUGUCUGAAGACGCAGGGCUCACGCCAUGGUCCCCAGCGCUCCCUGGUCUCCUCUCGCCGGCUCUGAGCUGGUGCGCCCUCCCGCUGCCCGUCUGUCCUAGCCGUCUUCUCCUGAGCCAGCAAGUCCCUUCCUAGCCAUUGAGUUUCUGCCUCAUCUCCUAAUGUGAUUUAGAAACGCAGAGAUUUCCAGUUAGAGGAACCAUGGAGGCUGUUCUGAAGAGGGAGGCCUAGGUGGCUGGCCCGCGGUCGGAAGCCAGCUGUCUGAGGGAGGUGGCACAGGGACUGCGUGUGGCCCUCCGGGGCACAGAGUCGGCUGAACCAAAGCCUAGCGGAAGAGCCACGGCUAGCGCCCAGGCGUCCUCCCUGACCCCCGGCCCCGGACCGCCUCUGAGCAGCCGCAGUCCCUGCGGCCACGGUCUGCAUCCUGUUGCUCGCCCUUCCCUGUGCUCCCUGUCACUGCGCCCACAGCCCUGGAGGCUCCCGUCCCCAUCUCACUCGGCAGGGAACAGGGCUCUGAAAGGACCAUCCACAGUUACAAUUACUGAGAACUGCUAAAGCGUCUGCCAGACUUUGUAAGCAUCGCUGAUGCUUACUACGCGUUAAGGCAGGCGCCGACUCCAUUUUAUGGAAGAAAAGAAAGCGGUCCAGGAAGACUAACCGACGCAGCGGGCCGCGGGCCGGCACAGAGCCAGGGCGCAGCGGGCCGAGGCCUCGAGCCGGAGACUCUGUGGCACCACAUCUCUGCCUUUUGCACAGUGCGUGCGGCCAAGGUCCUGUGGCAGGUGAGUGAUGGCGGUGAGUGCAGCGGAGGACUCUGGCCUCUAACCCAGUCUUCUGUCUUUCAGGAUGUGCAGACACCCUGGAAGAGGGGUGGUGUGCAUGCAGACACACACACACACACACACACGCACAGUCCUCGACACCCUGUAGUAUAAAUACAGCAAUUUCACCCCAAGGACUGAUGUAAUUUUAAACCUUGUGGUUCUUUUCCCAACAGCAGGGCUCUUAUUUUAACGUCCUAACCUAAACUGUGAGCACAUGGGCUCUCCUUAGAGCAGAGUGCCAUUCUGGAUUUCAGACCCUGUGGGAGACGUUGGAUAAAGACCUCAUCCUGUUGAAGAGAGCUGCCGACGUUCUGGUUUUCGUUUCAAGACUGGAAACGAGCCCACAGCCCGGGGCUGCCUCACAUAGCCAGCAGAGGCUCCGGCCGAGUCCCUGACCAGAGGGGCUGCAGGAAAUCCGCGUGUUUCUCAGGAUGAGCUGUGGCUCGGAGCUUGGCCAGCUCACAGUGGGAGAGAACGUGGGAGACCAGUGACUUCUAGGCGUCAGCACGCUGCCAUUUCCACUGUCCCCUGCGCGUGCUGUGUGCUCCGGGUCCUGGACGGAGGGAGCCUAAUGCGGGUUUCCUCAGGGAUGUGAACUGGAGUAAGUGUACACAGUCGGGAGAUGAUGUCUUCAGAGAGAACGGCACACGCUGGGGCGCUGGGUGAACGCCAGCUGCUGCUCCUGCUUUGCUGCUACUGAUACUUGGGGCUGAGCGGUCUGACUCCUGACGCGGCUGAAAAGAGCAGGGGACUGGGAUGGGAAGACCUGAGUUUGCACCCUACCACUGCCGCUUACUGGCUGUGUGACCUCGGGGAGGUCACCGAGACCUUCUCAGCUCAGCUUCCUCAUCUGUCAAACAGGGAAACUGAAGACAGCUAACGUACAGGCAGCUUCCACGAGGGGCAAGUGAGGCGAUCUGCAUAAAGUUUCUCUGCCAGCUGCCAAACUCUGCAUGCCUGUGUCGUUUUGUCAUUGUUGGUGUUAAGGACUGAAUGUCUGUGUCCCCCCAAAAUGCAUGUGUUGAAACCCUGACUCCCAGUGUGAUGGCGUUAGGAGGCGGGGCUUUGGGGAGUAAUUAGGGUUAGGUGGGGUCGUGAGGGCCGAGCCUCCUCGAAGGGGUUAGUGUCCGUAUAAGAAGAGGACGGGUCUGGGGCUCUCUCCCUCUCCCUGUCUUGCAAAACAUCAGCUGUCUGCAGGCAAGGAGGACGGUCGUCACCAAGAACUGGAGGGGCGACUUGUCGACCUUGGACUUGGAGCCUCUGGGACUGUGAGAAGCAAGUGUCUGUUGUGUGAGACCCCCGUCUGUGUAUUCUGCUAGAGCAGCCCGAACUGACGGAGACAACAGUCGCUCCGGACCUGAAGAGCAUGUCUGAUUUUUUUUAUAAAAAUCUUGGUUAUGUGCUCAGGUCCUUAUGACUGAUCUCCACUUAGCCCCUUAAGUGAGGCAGCACCGAGCGUAGAACGCCGUCUUCCCCAGCACAACGCUGUGUGCUGGUCUCAGGGCCGACCUCUGUGCACGUGUGAAGUCCCAGGUCUGCAGAGCUGCUGAGGCAGAGAAGGGUCGUCGACUGCGGUCCCCGCUCUGUGGGUGUUGUAUCUGAUGUUGCAAUCGUCAGGGUUUUCAGAUCUCACCUCCCCCUCCCCCCAGAGCAUUUAGAACAACUGGCAAUUCAGCCCCUCCCCACCGUCCUGGGUGCCUGAUCCUUUCGUCCCCACCCCGAGGGUGGAGGUCGUUGGGCUUGGGACCUCGAAAUCCUGCCUCCUCGACUUUCUAGCCGUGUUACCCUGGGCAUGUCACUUAACUUUCCCACACAUCCAUUUCUCAGCUGCAAAAUGGGAGGGAAUAACUGGUUGGGAAAUUUUAAUAAGACAGCACAUUUAAAAUUCUCAGAGCCACAUCCAGCACCGGGUCACUCCCCAGCUUUGCCCUCCGUCCCUGAGCACUCUUCUCAUUCACCGCUUGCUUCUUUUCUUUAAUAAUAAACAACAUAACAUUUUAAUUAAUUAGUUUAUACCUGUAUAUUUCUGGAAAAAUCGUAUUUUUAAUAAAAUGUGUUAAAUAUUCAGA